GGCGGCGUGCUUAACACAUGCAAGUCGAACGAUGAAGCCCUUCGGGGUGGAUUAGUGGCGAACGGGUGAGUAACACGUGGGCAAUCUGCCCUGCACUCUGGGACAAGCCCUGGAAACGGGGUCUAAUACCGGAUAUGACCGCUGACCGCAUGGUUGGUGGUGUAAAGCUCCGGCGGUGCAGGAUGAGCCCGCGGCCUAUCAGCUUGUUGGUGGGGUGAUGGCCUACCAAGGCGACGACGGGUAGCCGGCCUGAGAGGGCGACCGGCCACACUGGGACUGAGACACGGCCCAGACUCCUACGGGAGGCAGCAGUGGGGAAUAUUGCACAAUGGGCGAAAGCCUGAUGCAGCGACGCCGCGUGAGGGAUGACGGCCUUCGGGUUGUAAACCUCUUUCAGCAGGGAAGAAGCGCAAGUGACGGUACCUGCAGAAGAAGCACCGGCUAACUACGUGCCAGCAGCCGCGGUAAUACGUAGGGUGCGAGCGUUGUCCGGAAUUAUUGGGCGUAAAGAGCUCGUAGGCGGCUUGUCGCGUCGRAUGUGAAAGCCCGGGGCUUAACUCCGGGUCUGCAUUCGAUACGGGCAGGCUAGAGUUCGGUAGGGGAGAUCGGAAUUCCUGGUGUAGCGGUGAAAUGCGCAGAUAUCAGGAGGAACACCGGUGGCGAAGGCGGAUCUCUGGGCCGAUACUGACGCUGAGGAGCGAAAGCGUGGGGAGCGAACAGGAUUAGAUACCCUGGUAGUCCACGCCGUAAACGUUGGGAACUAGGUGUGGGCGACAUUCCACGUCGUCCGUGCCGCAGCUAACGCAUUAAGUUCCCCGCCUGGGGAGUACGGCCGC
rnacentral:rRNA from 1 species